rnacentral:piRNA from 1 species
UAACAUGUCUCAGUGACAAUAAAUUAUCUGA